AUGAAUUAAAUACGAGGUUUAUGUUAUUAGACUGUACUGAAUGUCAUGUGUUGGAAGUGUUUCAUUUAAAUGUGCCCAUUUAAAUGUCCCUCGUUAGCUAGCGUCGUUGUAGUCUGCCCCUGGACCUUGCCAGUCAUUCAUUAUCAAAGUAGCUAGCAUCAAGCUAGCUCAUGGUAGUUGUUUCUAGCAGGUUCCCUCCCGCCCAUUCAGUUACGUUUGUCAGAAGUUCCCACCGUAGAGAAGGCUAGUUUAUUUGGCUAACCAAAUGAAUACAUGUUUACCAGACACACGUCUUUGCAGCAUUUUCAUUGACAGCUUAUGGCUAGCAAGUUAGCUAACUACCACUGGAAAGGUGUGCUGCAGGCAGGUAGAUGACAUGCAGGGUGAGCCAUGGACCAGAUCACCUUCCAUUAUGACACGGUGUGUCUGACGUGUGUGUGUUCCCCAGGUGUGCUGCAGGCAGGUAGAUGACAUGCAGGGUGAGCCAUGGACCAAAUCACCUUCCAUUAUGACACGGUGCUGUCUGACGUUCACCUGUUGCUACCCAACUCUCGCCACCUCAUGGCACGCCUUAACAGCGUAGGACAACCAGUGUUCAUCUCCCGGUUCAGAAUCCUGUGGGACGGAGCAAAGCAGCACACCUGUGACCUCGGUUCCCCCUGCGGAGGGGAAGAGUUAGACCGCGACACCCAGGAGGAGAGUGGAAGGGGAGAUGCUAGGGGGAGUGAGACUGUGGCUGACGCAGGGGCAGACGGAGGAGUGGACAGAGGGGAGGACGGAGAGGAGGACAGAGGGGAGGACGGAGAGGAGGACAGAGGGGAGGACGGAGGAGUGGACAGAGGGGAGGACGGAGAGGACAGAGUGGAGGACGGAGAGGAGGACAGAGGGGAGGACGGAGAGGUAGAACCACCCCUGGAUGAAGAUGGAGAUUUAGAGGUACCACGCAGGCCCAGACAAAGACUCCCUGAGAGGGACAGAGACAUGGUCUACCCCAUCAUCCUCAGCCAGGCAAGAAGAGAGGAAGAGGAGGAGGAGGAGGAGGAAGAGAAGUGUCCUAGAGACGUCAUCAGGAUAGAACACACUAUGGCCACGCCUUUAGAAGAUGUUGGCAAACAGGUCUGGCGUGGUGCCUUCCUAUUGGCUGAUUUAAUCCUGUCUCAGCCAACUACAUUCAGAGGAGCCACUGUCUUGGAGUUGGGGGCAGGGACUGGGCUGACCAGCAUAGUCAUGGCAACGGUGGCCAAAACAGUGUACUGCACAGACGUUGGGGAGGAUCUACUGAGCAUGUGCCAGAAGAACGUGACGUUAAACAGACACCUGAUGGAACCUGCAGGUGGGGAGGUGCGAGUACGUCUACUGGACUGGCUCAGACACGAUCUCUGCACAGACGCUGAUGCAGAGUUUGGAUGGACAGAGGAUGAAGUGGCAGAUCUCCAUGACAACACAACAAUUAUCAUUGCGGCUGACGUGUGCUACGAUGACGAUCUGACAGACGCGCUGUUCCGAACUCUGUACAGAAUCUGUAACAACCUCCGUCUCCCCUGUACUACAUACCUGUCUAUAGAGAAGAGGUAACAUACCUGUACUACAUACCUGUCUAUAGAGAAGAGGUAACAUACCUGUACUACAUACCUGUCUAUAGAGAAGAGGUAACAUACCUGUACUACAUACCUGUCUAUAGAGAAGAGGUAACAUACCUGUACUACAUACCUGUCUAUAGUGAAGAGGUUAACAUACCUGUACUACAUACCUGUCUAUAGAGAAGAGGUAACAUACCUGUACUACAUACCUGUCUAUAGAGAAGAGGUAACAUACCUGUACGACAUACCUGUCUAUAGAGAAGAGGUAACAUACCUGUACUACAUACCUGUCUAUAGAGAAGAGGUAACAUACCUGUACUACAUACCUGUCUAUAGAGAAGAGGUAACAUACCUGUACGACAUACCUGUCUAUAGAGAAGAGGUAACAUACCUGUACUACAUACCUGUCUAUAGAGAAGAGGUAACAUACUUGUACUACAUACCUGUCUAUAGAGAAGAGGUAACAUACCUGUACUACAUACCUGUCUAUAGAGAAGAGGUAACAUACCUGUACUACAUACCUGUCUAUAGAGAAGAGGUAACAUACCUGUACUACAUACCUGUCUAUAGAGAAGAGGUAACAUACCUGUACUACAUACCUGUCUAUAGAGAAGAGGUAACAUACCUGUACUACAUACCUGUCUAUAGAGAAGAGGUAACAUACCUGUACUACAUACCUGUCUAUAGAGAAGAGGUAACAUACCUGUACUACAUACCUGUCUAUAGUGAAGAGGUUAACAUACCUGUACUACAUACCUGUCUAUAGAGAAGAGGUAACAUACCUGUACUACAUACCUGUCUAUAGAGAAGAGGUAACAUACCUGUACUACAUACCUGUCUAUAGAGAAGAGGUAACAUACCUGUACUACAUACCUGUCUAUAGAGAAGAGGUAACAUACCUGUACUACAUACCUGUCUAUAGAGAAGAGGUAACAUACCUGUACUACAUACCUGUCUAUAGAGAAGAGGUAACAUACCUGUACUACAUACCUGUCUAUAGAGAAGAGGUAACAUACCUGUACUACAUACCUGUCUAUAGAGAAGAGGUAACAUACCUGUACUACAUACCUGUCUAUAGAGAAGAGGUAACAUACCUGUACUACAUACCUGUCUAUAGAGAAGAGGUAACAUACCUGUACUACAUACCUGUCUAUAGAGAAGAGGUAACAUACCUGUACUACAUACCUGUCUAUAGAGAAGAGGUAACAUACCUGUACUACAUACCUGUCUAUAGAGAAGAGGUAACAUACCUGUACUACAUACCUGUCUAUAGAGAAGAGGUAACAUACCUGUACUACAUACCUGUCUAUAGAGAAGAGGUAACAUACCUGUACUACAUACCUGUCUAUAGAGAAGAGGUAACAUACCUGUACUACAUACCUGUCUAUAGAGAAGAGGUAACAUACCUGUACUACAUACCUGUCUAUAGAGAAGAGGUAACAUACCUGUACUACAUACCUGUCUAUAGAGAAGAGGCUGAACUUCACUCUGAGACACAUGGACAUAUCAUGCGAGGCCUACAACCAUUUCCGCCACUGUCUGUGUGAGAUGCAGGAGCUAAGGGACGGACGGACAUGCUUCAC